CUGUGGCCUUUCAGUCCUUGGCACACCAUGUUGUCAUUGCCUAAUUGUACUUCAAUGUUCUUCUUUGCCAUGAGGUCCUAGAGGUUGGGACCAUUAUUUGGCUGUAACUCAGGUGCCCAGCAUGUAUCUUAUCAGUCAAGUUCAUCAGUACACCCCAACUCCAUAAUUUCAUUUAAUAGUCACUAUAGUAAAUGACCAUUAGACAACAUGGUGUGUCAAUCACUGAGGAGCCACAGAAGGUCCUUUUCCCAAGUCUCACAGCACUUGCCAUACUGCAUCAGCAAUCUUCUAACCACAAUUUCCCUUCAAUAUAAAUAGUGACUAAAAGUAUGUGUGCCAGGUCCUCAUUUUAUAUAUCCAAAGAGGGUGAUGCCCUAAAGAUAAAACAUGUUACCUCUGAUCUUCAGUCCUGAUGCCCAGUACUACCUUAGCUCCUGCGAUUUUGUCCAGGGUUCUCCGAAUAAAAUCUUCCAGCCCAAAGCUCCAAAUCCUUCCAUUCACACCCAGUGCAGACAACCUGGGCUUCUUCCCACUGCUCACUCACAACCAUCUAGAGCUGCCUUGGCAGAUCUUCAACACUCAGAAUCUCUGCAGAUCGAGGACUCAUGCUAACUGUCUGGACCUUGCCACUUGCUGCUGUGGAUCACUCAUCUGGGAACUGGUGACAGAAAUCAAUAAAAAGAUCAUCACUUUCAUGGAACUUACUUUCUUGUGAGAGAAAAGAGAAAUAAACAUACAAAACCAGAAACAAGCUACAAGAUGCCUGCUGAUCUGUAUGAAGAACUCUCAGCUCCCUCUCCAGCACCAUGUCUGCCUGCGUGC
rnacentral:lncRNA from 1 species